AACACAUUAGGAUGUGGAGCAAAAGUCACAUUGCUGCUUUAACAGAUACUAAAUGUCUGUCUAGCUUUAAGAUGAAGAGAGAGAGUUUCCUUGGAAAAGAAACCAAAAUAAAUUUAAAGGACCUGGCACCAUUAUGAAUUAGUUUGGGCUCUUGGGUGACCUCAACUUUUAUUCAUUUUUAUUCAUUCACUAGCAUUUAGUGAGCAUCUGCUAAGUAAGAAGGAAGGUGUUAGAUGCUCACAGAAUGCAAAAUGAAAAAAAGAGAAAUGAAGAAGCAAAACAAAGAAACAGGAAGAUUUAGUGACCAACUGGAUAUAAGGGGAGAAAGGGAAAAAGGUGAAAAUACAUAUAAGCUCAGAGACCAGAAGAUAUAGGGGACUCCGUCCAAGAGCUGUCAUUAAAGAUGGCAGGACACAGGCUGAUAUCAUUAUAUCAGGAGGAGAACCAGCUCUGAAAGAGAAAUUGGAGCUCGUUCUGGACCUGUUAAGCAUGACAUGCCAGUAGGAUAUCAGUUGGGGCAGCCAAGAUACAGUUAGAAAAAUUUAGAACCUAAGAAAAAGAACGGUUCUAGAGAUGUGAAUUUGGGACCAGCUGCCAUAGAGGCCACAUGUGGACACAAUGACCAAAGCCACCCUACCCACAAAGUCAGUCCAAAAGCUCCUGUGUCCACCGUUAUGUCACUUCACUGAACUCUAUGAAAAUGUCCCCCUGCUGUAAUUCAGUUCUACUCAAUUCCUUAAUGAAAUUUUUUACACUCAAAAAGAGAUCUGAUGAAAUCAACACAGUUGUAUUAUGAUAGCCAAGAGGCUAAUUUUUUCUCUUCACUUAUCUUCUUUCAAGUUCAGUCUGUUAGAAUAUUUUCCUAAGAAAAAUAAACUCAUGAAAUUUUAAAGUCUGAGAUCUGGGGGAGAGCUCAGAGAAACCUUUCCUUCGCUAGUUCUGUUCAUUCCAUUUCUAUGGGAGUUCAGGUCCAACUCCAGCUGGACUUCUGAAGAAAAAUCACCCGCUCUAAGUAUGCCUCCUUUCCCUUUUGGCAGCGUUGAUGAUUUAGUAUCGCUUAUCUUAUUCUUAGCUUCACUGUAAAAUGAUCUGGUUUCUUUUAGAAGAAAGGAGGAAAAGUACCGAGUCCUAAUACGUCUUUCUCCCAAGCCGACCGGAGGGAAACUCAGUGGAAAAGAAAAAGAAGAACAAAGGCAGAGUGUACCAACCAGCCCAUGCAAUCGAAACUACAACAAACUUCAAAUGGAGGCCAAAGUAAUGAAGUGUUUCUACGGAAGCCACGAGAAACAAUAAAGAAAGGGCAGUGGGGGAGAACAAAGAGGAAAAGUUCUGGAGAUGGAUGCUGGUGACGAUGGUUGCACAACACUGUGAAUGAACUUAAUGCCAUUAAAUCGUACACUAAAGAUGGUUAAAAUGGCAACUUUUACCUUAUGUAUAUUUUACCGUAAUAAAAAUAAUAAAUGAAAAAAACAGUAGCUACGAACUUGAUUUGGGGGCUAUAAACGUGGAGCAUGAAAUGAGAGAAGAGAACUCAAUUAAGUGCUGUGCCCUUAUGAAAUAUGGACUAAGCACUGGGAACUGAGUUUAAUAAUCUAUUUGGCUUCAUAAACCAAGUCACUGUUCCCUGACAUCAAGCCCCAGGUCACUGGCAGCUAAGGUGUUAAACUUCCAUUCCUGAAAGGGUUCCAAAUGUGAAAUAGAUACGGUUACCAUGCCUUAUCAAAAUCCUUUACCAUUCUUGGUAAGUCAACAGAAGGUUUACUGCUCACUUUAGCAAAGGUUUCAUCUUUUCUGGUUUAAAAUUAUUUAAAAGGAAAGAGAUGAAACCUUAAUAUUGACUAAAGUUAUCUCACAGGGGGGAAACAAGUGUGAUAAUACCAAAUUAAGUUGAACUUUCUACCUUUAAAAAAAAAAAAGUCACUUGAAAUCAGUUUCUUUCUAAGGCAUAAAGCUUAACCAACCAUUUCUUAAAGAAGUGUAACCUAAAUGAGCACGUGUGUUGACACAAUUAAGUCAGUGUAUAUCCUGUAUUACAGACAAGCCAGAAAGAUUACCAGAAAGCCAGAUCAUUCUGGAAUUUCCCCCUAACUUUCCAAGUAGGAUUGGUAGAAGCAGCAGCUUCCAGGUUGUGACAUCUGUUAAUAACAACAGCCGGGAUUUCUUUCCUCCUUAUCACAGAUAAUUGAGUUUAUGGGCGGCGGCAAAGAAGAGGGUUACUCCGGAAGGUAGGAAGUGGCCCUGGCUCAACUGCCUUCCAUCACGCGUUGGACUUUUUUUAGAUUAGCUGAUCCAAAUGCUGCCCUGGCCAAGCCGUCCAAGGAGUAUCAUUUUUCCCUCAUUCAUUUAGCACCCUCCAACAA